UGUGUGUGUGUGUGUGUGUGUGUGUGAGUGUGUAGUGAGGAGGAGGACAGCAGCUGAGCAUUUUACUUCACUUCACUUUUAUAUCAACAACAAUGCUGUCAUUAUCAGUCUUGCUGCUGCUUUCAGCUGCAUUCUGUGGUGUUGGAGGUGUGGAGCUCACUCAGACAGACUCUGUGCUGGUGAAGCCUGGAGAGUCGUUCUCCAUCUCUUGUAAGAUCUCAGUGUCGAGUUAUUGUAUUAACUGGAUACGGCAACCUGCUGGAAAAGCACUGGAAUGGCUCGGAUAUCUGUGUAGCGGUGAUAGCACCAAUCUCAAAGACAUGAUGAAGAGCAAGAUCAGUCUCAGCCAGGACAAAUCCAGCAGCACAGUUUAUUUAAGAGGACAAAACUUUCAGUUCGAGGUCACGGCUGUGUAUUACUGUGCCAGAGACACAACACUACAAACUCACUGAAGCCCUGUACAAAAACAUCCCUGGUUAUUUUCCUCUCUCUGCAGUACACAUGUCCCCAGAGGGGUCUGGUAUAUAUGAGCUAGCAGAGCUAAGACACUUCUGUAGUUCAAAGAUAUCUACAUAAGGUUUCAUCUUUGUCUCAAUAUUAAAAUAAAUUCUUGUCCUGAACACAAGUGAAUACACAGUUACUCCAUCAUUAAUACAACACCAAUCUAUUCCAAAGUGUUUGUGCAGCUUG